rnacentral:misc_RNA from 1 species
GUAGGUGAACCUGCGGAAGGAUCAUUACCGAGAUAGGGUCCCCUGGGCCCAAACCUCCCACCCAAUGUGUACCUACCUUUGUUGCUUUGGCGGGCCGUGGGGCCUCGGCCCCCCGUCGACCUCGGUGGACGUGCGCCCGUCAGAGACCCCCCAAACUCAGUUCAUCAGUGACGUCCGAGCGAAACACAAAUCGAAGCAAAACUUUCAACAACGGAUCUCUUGGUUCUG